CCAUUUGCUCGCGCUGAGAAAUUAUUUAUGAGCUUUUUAUAAAAUCAACUGUUUUGGAAGAUACAAAUUUAUGCGAUGCCUUUUAACCCGGUUUUCAAAGCCGAAUUGAAGCGACCACAAAGGCCAUAAGAAUGUUGCGAAUUGAAAGUAUUUAGGAAUUGGUAGACAUACAUUGGAGAGUGUUCUAGUUUAUCAAUCGCAUUUCUUUUUUGUAAAGCAUUUAUUAUUGGAGUCCAACUAAACCGUUUGCUUAAAAUAGCUUGGCUUGGUAUGGCAUAGCAAGGCAAAUUAAUGACAAUCGCAAUUCAGUUCGAUACAGGGCAUUGAAGAUAGAAGCAAAAAAAACACAAUUCUUGAAAGUUUUGGAUGAGUAUCCGUUCAUCCAAAUGAUAGACUUUCUCGGGUUGUUGGAUGAGGAUCUCCUUUAGCCGUGGAUUGUUCUGUAUCUUUUCCGUAUAAGAAAACCACAAGUGACACAUUUAAAGGGUAAACUUAGAGUCUUCGAUAUAUUUUUCUGACUGAAGAAAUGCUAGAAUUCAUCUAUAAGAAUUCGACUUUUUUCUGUCAGACACCAACGUUGCAAUGAUCAUAUCAAAUGCAGACCACCCGUUAGAUAUUAUAGGAAUAAACCUGCCCGUGUAUUAUUAGCCGAACAGUUAAACUGCUUGAUUGCUUACUUAUCGAAUUUUUCAUCUAACUUAUAUUCUGAUUCAUUUAUAUUAAAUUUUAUUAACGCUGAUUUAUUUAUUUCUUUCAGCACACUCCUUUGAGCAAAAUAAUGAACUUCAAAAAAAAUCAGACUUAGGCAAUAUGUUUUCCCGAAUUGCCGCUGUCAAAUAUUAUAGAAGUCCUCGCUCUUACACUACUUACAUUGUCAUGAUUUUAAAAUUGUAUUCUAAUUUUUCCUCUUCUUCCUGUGAUACUUACCCUAUUAUGUUGCGCUUGUCUAAAUAUAUGUAAGCGAAAACCCCAUCUUAUCUUCUCAAUUAAACAAAUUUCGUGUUAAAGGUUGUGCUUUUACGGACACGAUUAAUUAUUUUCAUUACAAACAGUUUUCAAAUUCUGCAUUGACUGGGAAACUGGUUUUUAUUGUUUUUUCUAUGUUUACCGAGCAGCACAUUCCGACACCCUCGUUCGAAAUCUCCUAAAAGCAAUGGGGAACUCGUUCAACGAUCCAAUUACUUGUCUGACUACUAUAUAUGAACAACUUUCCUUUCUCUUUCAAGUACUAGUUUUUAGAUUGUGCUUCUUUUUGUUUUGCUUUCUACAAUCAUCAAAUACAGACUUCUAACGAGUUUCCUUAUAUUGUUUAUUGUACUACUGUCGAGCGUGCAAAAUUACACUUUCUCCCGAAGGGGGCGGGGUUUUCACCUUACUUAUCUAUUUAUCAGUCGCGCGUGUUCAAGCCAUAACAU